rnacentral:rRNA from 1 species
GAGUUUGAUCAUGGCUCAGAUUGAACGCUGGCGGCAGGCCUAACACAUGCAAGUCGAACGGUAACAGGAAGCAGCUUGCUGCUUCGCUGACGAGUGGCGGACGGGUGAGUAAUGUCUGGGAAACUGCCUGAUGGAGGGGAUAACUACUGGAAACGGUAGCUAAUACCGCAUAAUGUCGCAAGACCAAAGAGGGGGACCUUCGGGCCUCUUGCCAUCGGAUGUGCCCAGAUGGGAUUAGCUUGUUGGUGGGGUAACGGCUCACCAAGGCGACGAUCCCUAGCUGGUCUGAGAGGAUGACCAGCCACACUGGAACUGAGACACGGUCCAGACUCCUACGGGAGGCAGCAGUGGGGAAUAUUGCACAAUGGGCGCAAGCCUGAUGCAGCCAUGCCGCGUGUAUGAAGAAGGCCUUCGGGUUGUAAAGUACUUUCAGCGGGGAGGAAGGGAGUAAAGUUAAUACCUUUGCUCAUUGACGUUACCCGCAGAAGAAGCACCGGCUAACUCCGUGCCAGCAGCCGCGGUAAUACGGAGGGUGCAAGCGUUAAUCGAAAUUACUGGGCGUAAAGCGCACGCAGGCGGUUUGUUAAGUCAGAUGUGAAAUCCCCGGGCUCAACCUGGGAACUGCAUCUGAUACUGGCAAGCUUGAGUCUCGUAGAGGGGGGUAGAAUUCCAGGUGUAGCGGUGAAAUGCGUAGAGAUCUGGAGGAAUACCGGUGGCGAAGGCGGCCCCCUGGACGAAGACUGACGCUCAGGUGCGAAAGCGUGGGGAGCAAACAGGAUUAGAUACCCUGGUAGUCCACGCCGUAAACGAUGUCGACUUGGAGGUUGUGCCCUUGAGGCGUGGCUUCCGGAGCUAACGCGUUAAGUCGACCGCCUGGGGAGUACGGCCGCAAGGUUAAAACUCAAAUGAAUUGACGGGGGCCCGCACAAGCGGUGGAGCAUGUGGUUUAAUUCGAUGCAACGCGAAGAACCUUACCUGGUCUUGACAUCCACGGAAGUUUUCAGAGAUGAGAAUGUGCCUUCGGGAACCGUGAGACAGGUGCUGCAUGGCUGUCGUCAGCUCGUGUUGUGAAAUGUUGGGUUAAGUCCCGCAACGAGCGCAACCCUUAUCCUUUGUUGCCAGCGGUCCGGCCGGGAACUCAAAGGAGACUGCCAGUGAUAAACUGGAGGAAGGUGGGGAUGACGUCAAGUCAUCAUGGCCCUUACGACCAGGGCUACACACGUGCUACAAUGGCGCAUACAAAGAGAAGCGACCUCGCGAGAGCAAGCGGACCUCAUAAAGUGCGUCGUAGUCCGGAUUGGAGUCUGCAACUCGACUCCAUGAAGUCGGAAUCGCUAGUAAUCGUGGAUCAGAAUGCCACGGUGAAUACGUUCCCGGGCCUUGUACACACCGCCCGUCACACCAUGGGAGUGGGUUGCAAAAGAAGUAGGUAGCUUAACCUUCGGGAGGGCGCUUACCACUUUGUGAUUCAUGACUGGGGUGAAGUCGUAACAAGGUAACCGUAGGGGAACCUGCGGUUGGAUCACC